rnacentral:rRNA from 1 species
GUUAGGAAUAUUGGACAAUGGGCGCAAGCCUGAUCCAGCCAUGCCGCGUGAGUGAUGAAGGCCUUCGGGUUGUAAAGCUCUUUAGCCGAUGAUUAUAAUGACUGUAGUCGGAAAAUAAGCCCCGGCUAACUUCGUGCCAGCAGCCGCGGUAAUACGAAGGGGGCGAGCGUUAUUCGGAAUCACUGGGCGUAAAGCGUGCGUAGGCGGCUUUGCAAGUUGGGAGUGAAAGCCCAGGGCUCAACCCUGGAAUUGCUCUCAAAACUGCAAGGCUCGAAUUCGGGAGAGGAUAGCGGAAUUGUCAGUGUAGCAGUGAAAUGCGUAGAUAUUGACAGGAACACCAGUGGCGUAAGCUGCUAUCUGGACCGAUAUUGACGCUGAGGCACGAAAGCGUGGGGAUCAAACAGGAUUAGAAACCCGGGUAGUCC